rnacentral:rRNA from 1 species
UGGGAACUAGAUGUGGGGGCCAUUCCACGGCUUCCGUGUCGCAGCUAACGCAUUAAGUUCCCCGCCUGGGGAGUACGGCCGCAAGGCUAAAACUCAAAGGAAUUGACGGGGGCCCGCACAAGCGGCGGAGCAUGCGGAUUAAUUCGAUGCAACGCGAAGAACCUUACCAAGGCUUGACAUAUACGAGAACGCUGCAGAAAUGUAGAACUCUUUGGACACUCGUAUACAGGUGGUGCAUGGUUGUCGUCAGCUCGUGUCGUGAGAUGUUGGGUUAAGUCCCGCAACGAGCGCAACCCUCGUUCUAUGUUGCCAGCACGUGAUGGUGGGAACUCAUAGGAGACUGCCGGGGUCAACUCGGAGGAAGGUGGGGAUGACGUCAAAUCAUCAUGCCCCUUAUGUCUUGGGCUUCACGCAUGCUACAAUGGCCGGUACAAAGGGCUGCAAUACCGUAAGGUGGAGCGAAUCCCAAAAAGCCGGUCUCAGUUCGGAUUGAGGUCUGCAACUCGACCUCAUGAAGUCGGAGUCGCUAGUAAUCGUGGAUCAGCAACGCCACGGUGAAUACGUUCCCGGGCCUUGUACACACCGCCCGUCAAGUCAUGAAAGUCGGUAACACCCGAAGCCAGUGGCCCAACCGUAAGGAGGGAGCUGUCGAAGGUGGGAUCGGUGAUUAGGACUAAGUCGUAACAAGGUAACCAAGGGC